rnacentral:rRNA from 1 species
UACGAAGGGUGCAAGCGUUGUUCGGAAUCAUUGGGCGUAAAGCGCGCGCAGGCGGAUUGAUAAGUCAGGUGUGAAAUCUCGAGGCUCAACCCCGAAACUGCGCCUGAAACUGUAAAUCUAGAAUCUCGGAGAGGGAGGCGGAAUUUCGCAUGUAGGGGUAAAAUCCGUAGAGAUGCGAAGGAACACUUGAGGCGAAGGCGGCCUCCUGGACGAGUAUUGACGCUGAGGAGCGAAAGCGUGGGGAGCAAACAGG